rnacentral:rRNA from 1 species
GAGUUUGAUCAUGGCUCAGGAUGAACGCUGGCGGCGUGCCUAAUACAUGCAAGUCGAACGAAGCGGUUUUGCGGAAGUUUUCGGAUGGAAGCGGAAUUGACUGAGUGGCGGACGGGUGAGUAACGCGUGGGUAACCUACCCCAUACAGGGGGAUAACAGUUAGAAAUGACUGCUAAUACCGCAUAAGCGCACAGUACCGCAUGGUACGGUGUGAAAAGCCGAGACGGUGUGGGAUGGACCCGCGUCUGAUUAGCUGGUUGGCAGGGUAACGGCCUACCAAGGCGACGAUCAGUAGCCGACCUGAGAGGGUGACCGGCCACAUUGGGACUGAGACACGGCCCAAACUCCUACGGGAGGCAGCAGUAGGGAAUAUUGCACAAUGGGGGAAACCCUGAUGCAGCGACGCCGCGUGAGUGAAGAAGUAUUUCGGUAUGUAAAGCUCUAUCAGCAGGGAAGAAGCAAGACGGUACCUGAGUAAGAAGCCCCGGCUAACUACGUGCCAGCAGCCGCGGUGAUACGUAGGGGGCAAGCGUUAUCCGGAUUUACUGGGUGUAAAGGGAGCGUAGACGGUAAAGCAAGUCUGAAGUGAAAGCCCGCGGCUCAACUGCGGGACUGCUUUGGAAACUGUUUAACUGGAGUGCUGGAGAGGUAAGCGGAAUUCCUAGUGUAGCGGUGAAAUGCGUAGGUAUUAGGAGGAACACCAGUGGCGAAGGCGGCUUACUGGACAGUAACUGACGUUGAGGCUCGAAAGCGUGGGGAACAAACAGGAUUAGAUACCCUGGUAGUCCACGCGGUAAACG